GGGAUGAUGGGGGUGAGUCGUGUAAUGGCCGGUAACUUUUGUAAAGAAUUGUGGGCAUGGACAGGUUUUUGUAAGAAGAAAAAACAUUUAUUUUUUUAUUUCACUUACCAUUUUUUGGGUUGUGUGGAAAGAAAGGAAUGCUAAAGUUUUUGAAGGUAUUGAAACGGAUUUUGUAAACAUCAAAGAUAGAUGGUUACAUACUUUUGGUUUCAUUUUAUUUGGUCAUGAAAUAUUAUAUUGGGAAGAUUUGGGGUGCGCCAUCGACCAUCUAAUUGAUAUGUAAUUUCUAUGUAAUUGGGUGGUACUCCCUUAAUACCUUUGUGAAUAACAAUACUUUCACCUUUUAUUUCAAAAAAAAGAAAAGUAUAAAGCCACAUCAUAAUGGAGAAAAGAUGAUUGUGAGACUUAGUAGCUCUAAAACACAACACAAAAAUCCCUAGAAAGAAAGCAUGAUUUUGUCUGCAAGCUUGAGGAAUACUAUUAGUAUUAAGUUUGUCUAGAAUAGAAAUCUAUUAAGAACUUCAACCUUGCUGGGAGAGGGACCUUCCAUAAGAUUCUACUGAAAGAUCAAUAAGAGGCUGAUAUGAGUCACCAAGGUAUAACUUCUAAGAAAAAACCCAUCAAUAAGAGAGGAAUCUAAACCCCAUAUUCUGUAGUUAGGGAGAUCGGAAAAGGCUCUAGACUCUAGAAGUUGGAUUAGAGAGACCAUAUUAGAUGCCCAUGAAUUGUAACAAUUAGAUUGGUCCAAAAACGAGGAGAUGGGAGAGGGGUGAUUAUAGGGCAACCUAAGGCGAGAGAACCGAGAAGCUAGGGGCAUUAUCAAGUUAAAGGUCCUGAAAAAGAUAUCGAGAACCACCACUCUCCCUCAAUCUAGUAGGGUUAGAAAGAAGCAUAAAGUCUAGAAAUAGCCUUCUAGACAUGUAUUUGAUAAUCUUUGAAUAUCCUACCCAUUUUGGUUUCGACAAAACUUACUCUCAAGAAUACUGUGUUACAAAGAGUUGGGUUCCAGAGGAAACUGACAUAAUUAUUUAGUUAAAAAUGAUGUAUUUAUUUUUUUUGAAAUAAAAAGUGUAAAUCUAUUAACAAAGCACCUAGGGGGGUGCAAGCCAUAUAUAAAAAAUUACAUGUUUUUUAAGCAAUCAAUCNNNNNNNNNNNNNNNNNNNNNNNNNNNNNNNNNNNNNNNNNNNNNNNNNNNNNNNNNNAGCCAUUAAACUUGUGCAAUAUUCUAUGUCAUACUUUAAUAAAUAAUUUUCUUUUGGUAAAUUUUAGGAAUCUCUUAUUUUCCUGGUGAAUUUGAAUGAAAACAAUAGAUUUUAGGUUAUUUGUUUAAGUAAGACAUUAUCAAGGCACCAUUGCAAGGUUGGAAAAGAUCAAACAAAUCUAUUCAAGCUUCCUUCUUGCUUUAGUUAGUGCCAAAGCCUAGUGUAUCAUGAUCCAUUAGUUUAUUUAAAAAAAAAAAAAGUGUAUCAUGAUCCAUUAGCAUCGCUCUUGUAUUGCUAAAAGGCUCCACCAACAACUUCGUCCACUUCAUCCACCAUUGCUAAAAGGCUCAUAAGACACUGUAGUGUGUGCCAUAAUGAUGAUAAUGCGAAGGAAGAUACUUCUUCUACAUUUGUUGUUCAAGAACUUUUUUUCUCUCCAAAUGUGAUCCAAUUUUUCAUUCUAACUACAAAGUCAAUUAAUUGCGUGUGAUGAUUCAUUAAAACUUAUAUUAGUAAUAAUCUUGUAUCUCAAAGCGUUGGUUGAUUUCUUUCUAUUACCAACUGAGCAAUUACCUGGACUUCACAUACUAGAUGGUAAUCUAUACUUUUUAAACAGUUCUUAGACAGUCCACACACUAGAAUGGGCUCGAAGGUGUGUAUCUCACACAGCACUCGGAAAGCAAGCUCACAAGCCUACCCUAUUUUUCCCCAUAAACGCUUUCAAGUUGAAGGGAAUUUGCGUUGAGAUUCUAGGAGGAUCUAUUGUUAGAUAACCAACCAUUGACCACCCAAUUUCCUAGUUUUACAACAUUUCCUCUAGAAACCAAGCCCCAAUUUCUUAAUUUUUGACUCACACCGAGGAAGGGAUAUCAUGGAAUCUCCACUUCCCUUGUAGCUUGUUUGAUAGGGAGGCUCUGCACAUGUUUUCCUUAUUGGACCUCUUGGCUCAUAUCAUGUCAUUCCCACAAUCUGAUGGUAGAUUAUGGAACUUUUUUAGAUAUAUUCUUACGGUUCAUCCUUCGGUUUAUUUUGAGAUUUAUAGGAAGAUUACUAGAAUGGAGGACUAAGCUGUAAAUAAUUUUAUAUGUUCCUUUGCACCUCUGGUGCUCAUACUAAUACUACUCUUCUACUUUUCAUUUAAAAAAAAGAAAAAAUGUAUAUUACGUAUAUGACACCAAAAGGGGUGCCGCCCCUAUACAAAAAUAUUUACAUGUCCAUUAGUACAUAUAAUACCUGCCCAAAAUCAUCUCACUCAUAUACAUCAUGACCCAAAAUUAGAGACCCAAAAGUUUGUAACCACCUAUCUCUAAUUUUGCCAAUAUCCAUCAUACAACCGUUGAAUGCUUUAUUGUUCUUCUCUUUCUGUACCACCCAAAAAAUAGUUAAAGGAAUCAAUGUAACAAUUUUUGAUCUUAUCCCUACCCCGCCCCAAACCUAAAUCUCAUUUUUUACCGAACCCCCCAUCACCCAAUUGAUACACAAUAAACUGUACACCAUAUGCCAAAGACUAUAAGUCAUCGGGCACCAAAGGAGAAGAUGAUUGUA
rnacentral:lncRNA from 1 species